GGGGGUAGUAACGCUUUGAGCUUACUCAUUUGCUAGUGAGGCUGUGUGGUUUCAAUGUAUGUUAUUUUUGGGGGUUUGGGGUUUGUGUAGGUGGGUGUGGCUUCUUGGUGGUGGGAGCUUUGUUCUGCUGGUAGCUGCAUUGAGCACUAGGCUGGUAAGAAGCUUGGGUAGUAGGAGGAGGCUGUGGUGGUGGGUUGGAUUUGAGCUUAGAAUUGCUAGGGUGGCCCUCCUAUGUAUGAAGGGUAGAUGGGUUGCUGGAAGGUGUGGUUUACUUCCCUCGGUUGGCUG
rnacentral:lncRNA from 1 species